UACGUAGGCAGCGAGCGUUGUUCGGAGUUACUGGGCGUAAAGGGUGUGUAGGCGGUUGUUUAAGUUUGGUGUGAAAUCUCCCGGCUCAACUGGGAGGGUGCGCCGAAUACUGAAUGACUUGGAGUGCGGGAGAGGAAAGUGGAAUUCCUGGUGUAGCGGUGAAAAUGCGUAGAUAUCAGGAGGAACACCGGUGGUGCAGACGGCUCUCUGGACCGUAACUGACGCUGAGACACGAAAGCGUGGGUAGCGAAACAGG
rnacentral:rRNA from 1 species